rfam:Brachypodium distachyon strain Bd21 chromosome 2, whole genome shotgun sequence.
AACAUACUCCUCUGUCCGGUAUUAAGUGUCGCAACUUUGUCUAGAUACGCAUGUAUCUAGACUCGUUUUAGUGUGUAGGUACAUGCAUAUCUAGACAAAGUUGCGACACUUAAAACCGGACGGAGGGAAUUGAUG